rnacentral:rRNA from 1 species
CCUACGGGUGGCAGCAGUGGGGAAUAUUGGACAAUGGGCGAAAGCCUGAUCCAGCCAUGCCGCGUGUGUGAAGAAGGCCUUCGGGUUGUAAAGCACUUUCAGUGGGGAAGAAAGCCUUGGGGCUAAUACCCUCGAGGAAGGACAUCACCCACAGAAGAAGCACCGGCUAACUCCGUGCCAGCAGCCGCGGUAAUACGGAGGGUGCGAGCGUUAAUCGGAAUUACUGGGCGUAAACGCGCGUAGGCGGUCUGAUAAGCCGGUUGUGAAAGCCCCGGGCUCAACCUGGGAACGGCAUCCGGAACUGUCAGGCUAGAGUGCAGGAGAGGAAGGUAGAAUUCCCGGUGUAGCGGUGAAAUGCGUAGAGAUCGGGAGGAAUACCAGUGGCGAAGGCGGCCUUCUGGACUGACACUGACGCUGAGGUGCGAAAGCGUGGGUAGCAAACAGGAUUAGAUACCCCGGUAGUC